rnacentral:rRNA from 1 species
UACGGAGGGUGCAAACGUUGCUCGGAAUCACUGGGCGUAAAGCGCACGUAGGCGGUCCGAUAAGUCGGAUGUGAAAGCCCUGGGCUCAACCUAGGAAGUGCAUUCGAAACUGUCGGACUUGAGUGCCGGAGAGGAAAGCGGAAUACCUGGUGUAGAGGUGAAAUUCGUAGAUAUCAGGUGGAACACCAGUGGCGAAGGCGGCUUUCUGGACGGUAACUGACGCUGAGACGCGAAAGCGUGGGGAGCAAACAGG